CGCGUAGGCGGCCUGGUCAGUCUGGUGUGAAAGCCCGGGGCUCAACCCCGAAAUUGCACUGGAGACGGCCAAGCUUGAGUGUGGGAGAGGAUGGUGGAAUUCCCAGUGUAGAGGUGAAAUUCGUAGAUAUUGGGAAGAACACCGGUGGCGAAGGCGGCCAUCUGGACCAUUACUGACGCUGAGGCGCGAAAGCGUGGGGAGCAAACA
rnacentral:rRNA from 1 species